rnacentral:lncRNA from 1 species
GGGGGGUGUGUGGAAGGGGAGGAGGGGAAGGAGGGGGGAGAAAUCAAAUAAAUAAAUAACCUCCGCACCAAUAAGAGAGGCAGCGGCUGCUGAGAAGGCUGGGAUCGGAUGGGAGAGGUCCUUCUUGGGCUCUAUUUGUUUGUUUGUGACUGGAGCUGCAAAGUUCAGAGCCAAACGUGUUGCUUGCCGGUGGCGGCGGCCGCCCCGCUUCACCUGCUCCGCUGACGGGUGCCUGCCCGGGGCGGCCCCACUGCUCUGCGGGCCUUCUGCCCGGCAUCCUGCUUGCUACUGGGGCCGACGGACGGCAGAGGAGCGCGGGGCUCCGUCCCUCGCCUGCCCGCCUUCCCCUCCGCGCCUGCCGGAGAGCAACGGACAGGUGUAGCUACAGAAAAAUAUCACAUUGAUCACAGGAGCAGAAAACAAUCUGGAUUUUCUUCUGAUGUGCUGACUACAGUGAUUGAAGUAUUGAAUCCUUUCACACCACCUUCCUGUAAAUACCCUGUUUCCAUAGACUACCAAAAGAAACUGCAAGAGACUUCAAAGGCAAUCACUUCAAACUGCAGCUUCAUGCUUUCACUGAGAACAUAGAUUCUACUGCCAGGAAGUAACAAUAAAAUGUUGUGUCCAAUCAUGAUUAUGGAGGAUUAAGCCAUAAACCUUCUUUUCUGUGAUGGAAGCUGCCUUGCCUGGGAGUAAGUUUUCCAUUAAUGCUUUUUUCUUCAGUAAUGCUGGAGUUGAGGCAAGUUUAGGUGAAAUAUUUUUCAGUAGUGAGCAGGCAG